rnacentral:misc_RNA from 1 species
GGAGGAUAUGCUACUGGGGGAGUACAUGCAGGAGGUUAUGGAAGUGGUGGUGGAGCGGGUGGCGGCGCAGGUGGAGCUGAGAAUGGAGGUGGGUAUGGUGGUGGAGGUGGGAGCGGCGGAGGCGGCGGUGAGGCCUAUGAAAUUGCUGGCGGGCACGGUGGCGGAGGUGGGAGCGGCGGGGGAGGUGGUUAUGCCGGCGGGCAAAACGGAUACAAACCGUGAUGCUGCUCAAAUUGAGCGGGAAAUUCUACUACAAAUAAUAGUUAUGGGCCAUCAACAUAAGCCCGGUCUAUUAGGAGUUAAGUGUGCUUGACUAUGUUUCUAAGGUGUUUCUUGCUGAAAAAAAUGUCCUCC